rnacentral:rRNA from 1 species
AUUGAACGCUGGCGGUAGGCCUAACACAUGCAAGUCGAGCGAGCGGCGGACGGGUGAGUAAUGUAUGGGGAACUGCCCGAUAGAGGGGGAUAACUACUGGAAACGGUCGCUAAUACCGCAUACUAUCGGAUGAACCCAGAUGGGAUUAGCUAGUAGGUGGGGUAACGGCUCACCUAGGCGACGAUCUCUAGCUGGUCUGAGAGGAUGACACGCCACACUGGAACUGAGACACGGCCCAGACUCCUACGGGAGGCAGCAGUGGGGAAUAUUGCACAAUGGGCGCAAGCCUGAUGCAGCCAUGCCGCGUGUAUGAAGAAGGCCUUAGGGUUGUAAAGUACUUUCAGCGGGGAGGCGUUACCCGCAGAAGAAGCACCGGCUAACUCCGUGCCAGCAGCCGCGGUAAUAC